ACCGCGGGCACGGGAUCCCACCUGUGUGCUGGGGGUUCCUGCGUGCCGCGGGCAGCAACAGCGUGCGGUUGCUGAAGCGAGCUGGAAAUAAGGGAGAUGAGUUACAAGGGGCAGUAGCCGGGAGGAAAUAAAAAAAAAAUAAUUAAAAGCUGAGGGAUUCUCCACAGCCCCCGUCAACAGAAUCUCCAAGUAAAGUUACAGGAUGCAGAUACAGGUUUUAACUACAGUGAACCUGCUGCUGAAGCAUCUCUUCAGUGCCUUUUCUUCCCCACCUAUUGAACUGCAUUUUCCUCGGCACAUCUACUCAGCACUACAGGAACUUUCAUACAUGCUAGAGUGUUUCUCAUGAGUGACUCAAAUGGAAAUGGAAGUUGAUCCCUACGACAUGUGGUCCCCUACACUUGUCUCUGCAUACAGGAAAGCUGGACACUCAGCCCAGGUGUUGCAAGAAGAUGAGCAGGAAGCCCAUCCUGCACCAGACAAGCUAGAAUGUUCUGAUAAACAUUUUCAGAGGACAAUCUGUGCUGGAGUUGGAAUAUGCUUCCUGUCGUUCAUCAGAAGAACUGGCAAGCAAGCAAGGCUGACAGAUGUAGUUCAGACUUAUGAGGAUUUCCUGUUGCAAAAGUUUGGCAUCCACUGACAUUUCCUGGUGGUGUAGAAAAGCCAGAAGAGUAAUGGGUUGUUGUAAUGGUUUGGCCUGAAGAUUCUUCCUGU
rnacentral:lncRNA from 1 species